ACUCAGGCACGACGCGCGCCAUAAGGGUGGUAACCGUUUUUCGAGCUGAUCGGAAGGUGCCACCUGCGGCCUCGAGUGGCCGCCACGUUGCGCGCGACCGACCUGAAGUUCAACCCUGAGGGA
rnacentral:ncRNA from 1 species